rnacentral:rRNA from 1 species
GAUGAACGCUGGCGGCGUGCUUAACACAUGCAAGUCGAACGAAGCACUUUAUUUGAUUUCCUUCGGGACUGAUUAUUUUGUGACUGAGUGGCGGACGGGUGAGUAACGCGUGGGUAACCUGCCUUGUACAGGGGGAUAACAGUUGGAAACGGCUGCUAAUACCGCAUAAGCGCACGGCAUCGCAUGAUGCAGUGUGAAAAACUCCGGUGGUAUAAGAUGGACCCGCGUUGGAUUAGCUAGUUGGUGAGGUAACGGCCCACCAAGGCGACGAUCCAUAGCCGACCUGAGAGGGUGACCGGCCACAUUGGGACUGAGACACGGCCCAAACUCCUACGGGAGGCAGCAGUGGGGAAUAUUGCACAAUGGGCGAAAGCCUGAUGCAGCGACGCCGCGUGAGCGAAGAAAUAUUUCGGUAUGUAAAGCUCUAUCAGCAGGGAAGAUAAUGACGGUACCUGACUAAGAAGCACCGGCUAAAUACGUG